rnacentral:rRNA from 1 species
CAAUAGCGUAUAUUAAAGUUGUUGCAGUUAAAAAGCCCGUAGUUGGAUUUCGGGGCAGCCUGGCUGGUCCGCCGCAAGGCGAGUACUGGUCAGCCGCCCUUCCUCUCGAAAGCCCCGACUGCUCUUUAUUGCAGUGGUCGGGUAGUUCGGGACGUUUACUUUGAAAAAAUUAGAGUGUUCAAGGCAGGCCUACGCCUGAAUACAUUAGCAUGGAAUAAUGGAAGAGGACCUCGGUCCUAUUUUGUUGGUUUCCAGGACCGAAGUAAUGAUUAAGAGGGACAGUUGGGGGCAUUCGUAUUUAAUUGUCAGAGGUGAAAUUCUCGGAUUUAUGAAAGACGAACAACUGCGAAAGCAUUUGCCAAGGAUGUUUUCAUUAA